CAGUAGCCGCGGUAAUACGAAGGGUGCAAGCGUUAAUCGGAAUUACUGGGCGUAAAGCGUGCGUAGGCGGUUUGUUAAGUCUGUUGUGAAAUCCCCGGGCUCAACCUGGGAAUGGCAAUGGAUACUGGCAAGCUAGAGUGUGUCAGAGGAUGGUGGAAUUCCCGGUGCAGCGGUGAAAUGCGUAGAGAUCGGGAGGAACAUCAGUGGCGAAGGCGGCCAUCUGGGACAACACUGACGCUGAGGCACGAAAGCGUGGGGAGCAAACAGGAUUAGAUACCCGCGUAGUCCCUGUCUCUUAUAC
rnacentral:rRNA from 1 species